CGUUCGAGCGUUCAAAACAACUGGGAACUCGGAAAAAAAUGAAGUGAAACCAUGAUCAGUGAUCUUCAGGUCGGAAAGUAUGAGCUCUAGAAAUAGGCUCGAGUUCCGGAGUUGGAUGACCGUUUAAAUCGAUUUGACCAAGCCAGAGUUCGCUUUUUCCUCCCGAGUUCUCAGUUGCUACGAACACUCGGAAAUCUAGUUUACUGUCGUUUUGACCGCGGCAAGAGCGCUUGGUCUUUGUCGCAGAAGUGGGAGGGAACGCUUGGGCCGUCCUGUAUUUUUAUUGGUGUUUUGGAAUGGAAAGUGGAAUCCAGAGCUAUGAUUGGUUACGUUGCCGGCGAUAUAAAAGUUAUAGAAUCACAUUUCCUUCUUUCUCUACAAGGCUUCGCCGUUGUUUAACUCCGACCAACAUCAGCGCCACCCUCGGUCACGAAUUUGGCAACAUGUCUAAAGGACCGGCAGUUGCCAUUGAUCUCGGGAGCACCUACUCCUGCUUGGAUGUGUUCCAGCAUGGCAAGGUUGAAAUCAUUGCCAACGACCAGUGCAACAGGACCACUUCAAGUUAUGUUUCCUUCAGACUCAGACUUAUUGGUAAUGCCGUCAAUAAUCGGGUUACCAUGAACCCUGCCACACGGUAUUCGACGGUCAACAAUGUAGUUGUUCCCGUGUGUAGUCGUUACCGUGACUGCUUAAUUCAACAACUCCCAGUUCCAGGCAUCGAAAGAUGCUGGCACCAUCUCAGGCCUGAAUGUACUGCAUAUCAUCAAUGAGCCAACUGCUGCUGCCAUUGCCUACGGCUUGGAUAAGAAGGUCGCCUGAGCAAGGAGGACAUUGAGCGUAUGGUCCAGGAGGCUGAGAAGUACAAGUGUGAGGAUGAUGUGCAGCGUGACAAGGUUUCCUCCAAGAACUCCCUGGAGUCCUACUCUUUCAACAUGAAGUCUACUGUGGAGGAUGAGAAACUGCAGGGCAAGAUCAGUGACGAGGACAAGACCAAGAUUCUGGACAAGUGCAACAAGGUCAUCGGCUGGCUUGACAAGAACUAGGUGUAUGAGGGUGAGGGCCAUGACCAAGGACAACAACCUGUUGAGCAUGUUUGAGCUGACUAGAAUCCCCCCUGCACCUCGAUGUUCCUCAGAUUGAGGUCACCUUUGACAUUGACGCUAACGACAUCAUGAAGGUGUCUGCAGCUGACAAGCACACUGGCAAGGAAGACAAGAUCACCAUCACCAAUGACAUGGACUGCUGAGAAGUAAGAGUAUGAGCACCACCAGAAGGAGCAUCACCAAGUUGUACCAGGGUGCUGGUAUGCCCGACAGCAUGGCUGGUGGAUUCCCCGGAGCUGGUGGCGCGGCUCAUGGAGGUGGUGGGUUAUCUUGACUGACUUGAGGUCGACUAAACCAUUCCACUGUUUCUGCAACUACCUCCCCCUCACAUUGACUUCAAUUGCUUUGCAGAUAGAUUUAGAAAACGGUUAUUGCGGUUUGUCAGACUACAUAUGGUAGGGUAAUUUUGCUGAAUUAUCCCAAUGUAGUAACUCAGUCUAUCGUUGGUAGAUUUUUCAACAGCACAAUUAGCUUGAUGCAUUUGAUGAUACUUUUUGAUGCAAAGUUUAUUUAGAAAUGUAUGGAUGCAAGGAAAGAAUGAUGGUGCAUGAGAAACAUGAUAGUUUUAAUACAAAUUACACACGUUCAGCUUUCAAACAAGGAACAGUACUGCCCUAUUGCACAGCUCUUGUAUCUGUCUUUAAUAAGCAAAACGCAGCAGCUCUUAUGGUGUGGUGGCCAAUUAUAUUUUAAAUGUCUCCCCUGUGUCCAUCUCUUUUUCCAUGUUUCCCCUUCCCAAACAAAGGGAGUUAAUCGGUGAAAAACAGAGGUAGGGUUGUAGACAGUUGAGGGACUGAAUAUAAUAAACCUUAGGCGCUGGCUUAAGCCCGGUAGCAACCACUACAGAAUGUCCGGUCAGAACAAGGAUGAGGCGGAUGUCCAGGGUAAUGGGAAUUUAAAACUUGUUCGGAGUCGGUGUACCGUCCCUAGGACGGUUGAGCUAACGUAGGCUAUUGCGAUUAGCAUGAUGUAUGUACAAGAACAUUUCCCAGGACAUAGACAGUUUGAUAUUGUCAGAAAGCUUAUUCUUGUUAAUCUAACUGCAUUGUUUAAUUUACAGUAGCUAUUACAGUGAAAGAAUACCAUGCUAUUGUUUGAGGAGAGUGCACAGUUUAACAGUUAUUAAUAAACAAAUUAAGCACA